rnacentral:rRNA from 1 species
AACCAGCACCUCAAGUGGUCAGGAUGAUUAUUGGGCCUAAAGCAUCCGUAGCCGGCUCUGUAAGUUUUCGGUUAAAUCUGUACGCUCAACGUACAGGCUGCCGGGAAUACUGCAGAGCUAGGGAGUGGGAGAGGUAGACGGUACUCGGUAGGAAGGGGUAAAAUCCUUUGAUCUAUUGAUGACCACCUGUGGCGAAGGCGGUCUACCAGAACACGUCCGACGGUGAGGGAUGAAAGCUGGGGGAGCAAACCGGAUUAGAUACCCGGGUAGUCCCAGCUGUAAACUAUGCAAACUCAGUGAUGCAUUGGCUUGUGGCCAAUGCAGUGCUGCAGGGAAGCCGUUAAGUUUGCCGCCUGGGAAGUACGUACGCAAGUAUGAAACUUAAAGGAAUUGGCGGGGGAGCACCACAAGGGGUGAAGCCUGCGGUUCAAUUGGAGUCAACGCCAGAAAUCUUACCCGGAGAGACAGCAGAAUGAAGGUCAAGCUGAAGACUUUACCAGACAAGCUGAGAGGUGGUGCAUGGCCGUCGCCAGCUCGUGCCGUGAGAUGUCCUGUUAAGUCAGGUAACGAGCGAGAUCCCUGCCUCUAGUUGCCACCAUUGCUCUCAGGAGCAGUGGGGCGAAUUAGCGGGACCGCCGUAGUUAAUACGGAGGAAGGAAGGGGCCACGGCAGGUCAGUAUGCCCCGAAACUCUGGGGCCACACGCGGGCUGCAAUGGUAACGACAAUGGGUUUCGAAUCCGAAAGGAUGAGGUAAUCCUCAAACGUUACCACAGUUAUGACUGAGGGCUGCAACUCGCCCUCACGAAUAUGGAAUCCCUAGUAACUGCGUGUCAUUAUCGCGCGGUGAAUACGUCCCUGCUCCU